rnacentral:rRNA from 1 species
CCUACGGGGGGCAGCAGUAGGGAAUAUUGCUCAAUGGGGGAAACCCUGAAGCAGCAACGCCGCGUGGAGGAUGAAGGUUUUCGGAUGGUAAACUCCUUUUGUUAGAGAAGAUAAUGACGGUAUCUAACGAAUAAGCACCGGCUAACUCGGUGCCAGCAGCCGAGGUAAUACGGGGGGUGCAAGCGUUACUCGGAAUCACGGGGCGUAAAGCGCGCGUAGGCGGGAUAGCAGGUCAGUUGUGAAAUCCUAUGGCUUAACCAUAGAACUGCAUUUGAAACUGUUAUUCUAGAGUAUGGGAGAGGUAGGUGGAAUUCUUGGUGUAGGGGUAAAAUCCGUAGAGAUCAAGAGGAAUACUCAUUGCGAAGGCGACCUGCUAGAACAUAACUGACGCUGAUGCGCGAAAGCGUGGGGAGCAAACAGGAUUAGAUACCCGGGUAGUC